rnacentral:rRNA from 1 species
AUUGAACGCUGGCGGCAUGCCUUACACAUGCAAGUCGAACGGCAGCACGGGUGCUUGCACCUGGUGGCGAGUGGCGAACGGGUGAGUAAUACAUCGGAACAUGUCCUGUAGUGGGGGAUAGCCCGGCGAAAGCCGGAUUACUACCGCAUACGAUCUACGGAUGAAAGCGGGGGACCUUCGGGCCUCGCGCUAUAGGGUUGGCCGAUGGCUGAUUAGCUAGUUGGUGGGGUAAAGGCCUACCAAGGCGACGAUCAGUAGCUGGUCUGAGAGGACGACCAGCCACACUGGGACUGAGACACGGCCCAGACUCCUACGGGAGGCAGCAGUGGGGAAUUUUGGACAAUGGGCGAAAGCCUGAUCCAGCAAUGCCGCGUGUGUGAAGAAGGCCUUCGGGUUGUAAAGCACUUUUGUCCGGAAAGAAAUCCUUGGCUCUAAUACAGUCGGGGGAUGACGGUACCGGAAGAAUAAGCACCGGCUAACUACGUG